GGAAAGGCGCGCGAUACAGGGUGACAGCCCCGUACACAAAAAUGCACAUGCUGUGAGCUCGAUGAGUAGGGCGGGACACGUGGUAUCCUGUCUGAAUAUGGGGGGACCAUCCUCCAAGGCUAAAUACUCCUGACUGACCGAUAGUGAACCAGUACCGUGAGGGAAAGGCGAAAAGAACCCCGGCGAGGGGAGUGAAAAAGAACCUGAAACCGUGUACGUACAAGCAGUGGGAGCACAGAGCAAUCUGUGUGACUGCGUACCUUUUGUAUAAUGGGUCAGCGACUUAUAUUCUGUAGCAAGGUUAACCGAAUAGGGGAGCCGAAGGGAAACCGAGUCUUAACUGGGCGUUAAGUUGCAGGGUAUAGACCCGAAACCCGGUGAUCUAGCCAUGGGCAGGUUGAAGGUUGGGUAACACUAACUGGAGGACCGAACCGACUAAUGUUGAAAAAUUAGCGGAUGACUUGUGGCUGGGGGUGAAAGGCCAAUCAAACCGGGAGAUAGCUGGUUCUCCCCGAAAGCUAUUUAGGUAGCGCCUCGUGAAUUCAUCUCCGGGGGUAGAGCACUGUUUCGGCAAGGGGGUCAUCCCGACUUACCAACCCGAUGCAAACUGCGAAUACCGGAGAAUGUUAUCACGGGAGACACACGGCGGGUGCUAACGUCCGUCGUGAAGAGGGAAACAACCCAGACCGCCAGCUAAGGUCCCAAAGUCAUGGUUAAGUGGGAAACGAUGUGGGAAGGCCCAGACAGCCAGGAUGUUGGCUUAGAAGCAGCCAUCAUUUAAAGAAAGCGUAAUAGCUCACUGGUCGAGUCGGCCUGCGCGGAAGAUGUAACGGGGCUAAACCAUGCACCGAAGCUGCGGCAGCGACGCUUAUGCGUUGUUGGGUAGGGGAGCGUUCUGUAAGCCUGUGAAGGUGUGCUGUGAGGCAUGCUGGAGGUAUCAGAAGUGCGAAUGCUGACAUAAGUAACGAUAAAGCGGGUGAAAAGCCCGCUCGCCGGAAGACCAAGGGUUCCUGUCCAACGUUAAUCGGGGCAGGGUGAGUCGACCCCUAAGGCGAGGCCGAAAGGCGUAGUCGAUGGGAAACAGGUUAAUAUUCCUGUACUUGGUGUUACUGCGAAGGGGGGACGGAGAAGGCUAUGUUGGCCGGGCGACGGUUGUCCCGGUUUAAGCGUGUAGGCUGGUUUUCCAGGCAAAUCCGGAAAAUCAAGGCUGAGGCGUGAUGACGAGGCACUACGGUGCUGAAGCAACAAAUGCCCUGCUUCCAGGAAAAGCCUCUAAGCAUCAGGUAACAUCAAAUCGUACCCCAAACCGACACAGGUGGUCAGGUAGAGAAUACCAAGGCGCUUGAGAGAACUCGGGUGAAGGAACUAGGCAAAAUGGUGCCGUAACUUCGGGAGAAGGCACGCUGAUAUGUAGGUGAAGUCCCUCGCGGAUGGAGCUGAAAUCAGUCGAAGAUACCAGCUGGCUGCAACUGUUUAUUAAAAACACAGCACUGUGCAAACACGAAAGUGGACGUAUACGGUGUGACGCCUGCCCGGUGCCGGAAGGUUAAUUGAUGGGGUCAGCGCAAGCGAAGCUCUUGAUCGAAGCCCCGGUAAACGGCGGCCGUAACUAUAACGGUCCUAAGGUAGCGAAAUUCCUUGUCGGGUAAGUUCCGACCUGCACGAAUGGCGUAAUGAUGGCCAGGCUGUCUCCACCCGAGACUCAGUGAAAUUGAACUCGCUGUGAAGAUGCAGUGUACCCGCGGCAAGACGGAAAGACCCCGUGAACCUUUACUAUAGCUUGACACUGAACAUUGAGCCUUGAUG
rnacentral:rRNA from 1 species